rnacentral:lncRNA from 1 species
CUCAUUUUCAUGGUUCAGUGGUUAUAGUUAAGUUUUUGUGUUUUGGUCUGUUUUUCUCAUACUUUAUGCAAUAGAUCUACUAUAUUUGUUGUAUGGAAUGAUUGUAAGGUGUACAUGUCUAGCGGGCAGAUGUCAUCUGACCUUGACCUCAUUUUCAUGGUUGAGUGGUCAAAGUUAAGUUUUUGAGUUUUGGUCUUUUUAUCUAAUACUAUAUGCCAUAGGUCAACUAUAUUUGGUGUAUGGAAAUAUUUUUUGAUCUAUAUGUCAGUCACGCAG